CUAAGCUAGCUGUUUCACAUCCGUUACGCUAAGACAGUCAGCGAGGAUCAAAACAUUUGAAAAAGGAUGGAUAGAGGACUAUUUUUGGCACAUUUUGAAUGCUGGAACUAAUAUGGCUGAAGACCCCUGCCUGGAUCCUUUGUUCUGACUCGGAGACAAUCGCUUGGCUCCCUGCCGUUCACCGUCAUGAAUGGGCAGCUUCUGGAGUAGAAUACAUUAUGUUUCAUCGUUGUUGUGGUUGUUUUACACACGUUGACCAAGGAUACCUGGAAGUUUUUGUUUAUUUGUGUUUCUUUUGCAGGAUUUCAUUUUGUAGCUGAAAUUAAUAUCUGAAAAUAAACAUGUUGUAUUUUUAUCUACAAUUUGGUCAUGAUUGGCUAUAUGUCAUUUUAAGAAUGUCAUAGACUGUGUAUUAAUGUUGUAACAGAGAGUUUUAUUGUUAGAAGUAUUUUUACCUUUAGAAAAUUAACAGAAUCUGUAAUAGACGUGGACAUUUUUCCCCCAGCAAUAAAGCUAGAAAUAACCCA